UUGACAGGUCGGUGGACGCACGUGUAUCGAGGUUUUAGUGUUUUUAUUUUGCAUUUUAAGUGUAAAAAGUUCUUAUUUAUAUUUUAAAUUGGUUAAUACUAACUCUUUUGCUGCUGGUGUGAGUGUGGCUAAUGUUAAAAAUAAACUUCUCUUUACUACAUAGCUGAUCAAAUUUUGCAACAUAUAUCACCGAUCAAUCUCCUUCGAGCCUCCCUCUUCAACGCGACACUGGCGAAACAAUCGGUGCCCAGUUGGCACACCUAAAAGCCACUGCUUGGAAAUUGAAUUGAAUUG